AAUCCGUGUUGUGGGCACCUCGGCAAAAGAUCCUUGAAACGCUCCCAUGUCUCAAACAAUGUUUCCAAUUUCAUCUGCACAAACAAUGAUAUCUCAUUUCGAAGCUU